UAGGGAAUAUUGGACAAUGGGGGCAACCCUGAUCCAGCCAUGCCGCGUGAGUGAAGAAGGCCCUCGGGUUGUAAAGCUCUUUUGUCCGGAAAGAAAAGCUUCGGGUUAAUAUCCCGGGGUUCUGACGGUACCGGAAGAAUAAGCACCGGCUAACUUCGUGCCAGCAGCCGCGGUAAUACGAAGGGUGCAAGCGUUACUCGGAAUUACUGGGCGUAAAGCGUGCGUAGGUGGUUGUUUAAGUCUGAUGUGAAAGCCCUGGGCUCAACCUGGGAAUGGCAUUGGAAACUGGGCAGCUAGAGUGCGGUAGAGGGUAGUGGAAUUCCCGGUGUAGCAGUGAAAUGCGUAGAGAUCGGGAGGAACAUCUGUGGCGAAGGCGCCUUUCUGGACUGUGUCUGACGCUGAGAUGCGAAAGCCAGGGUAGCGAACG
rnacentral:rRNA from 1 species